rnacentral:tRNA from 1 species
GGGAUUUUGGCUCAGUGGUGGAGCACUUGCCUAACAUGCAUGAGACCCUGGGUUCAAUUCCUCAGUACCA